CAAUUAUAGUAAACAAGGUCACCCCGUGGCAGGGAGAAAUUAUGAGGAGGACUCCAUAUUAUCAGAAGGCUAAUUAAUUACUUUAUUGUUCUAUAUUAUUCUAUAUUAUAUUACACUAUAUUACAUUACAUCUAAACUGAGUCUGCACAAAGCACCCGACUCAACUGCACAGAAUCUUGUGACUGUCUGCUGACAGACAGUUUGGACACGUGCUUGGCCCUGACAGGCCAAGGAAACAAAACACCAUCACUCUGGGUAAACAAUCUCCAUAUUGCAUUCCACUUUGGCACAACACAGGAGCAGCGAAUGAGGCAAACUGUGGGCAAAGUUCCUCUUCCCUGCAGUCACAAAGGGAGCUGGCAUCAGGCUUGGGAGAGCUGUGGUUUGGUGGCAUCUCAGAAGCAAGCACCACUGAGUCCAGCAGAGGAGCUCAUUUAGCAAAGCCUGUCAGCUUGAACAGACUCACUGGCCUCAGCUGGUUUUAGGCUGCAUCUGAAUCACAUGAACAAAACAUUGCUUUCAAGUGAGGAAGAGGAAUUUGACUAAAGCCACUGUAAUAAUUAAUCCUGUGAUGGGCAAGUCAUGCAAAUUAGGUGAAAGUAGAGAGGCUGGGAACCCUCUGCCCAGGCCUGAGGCAGCUCACACACCUUUGUGCCACUCUGGGUUCCUGUUACACUGGAGAGAUGUGGGCCCUAACCCAUGGCGCACCCCUGCUCUGUGAUCCACCUCCUCCUCUGCAGUCCACCCCAGCCUGGAGGAAGCACAGCCAGAAUCAGCCACUUAAAACCUCACCUUUCAAAUAUUUCUCACAGGCAAAUCUAAUAAAAAUCAUAUUUUGUCACA